rnacentral:lncRNA from 1 species
UUUGUUUGAAACAUAAUAAGGGCGCUAAGAAAAACAUAUUUUUUCCAGGAAUCUGACGACUUGUAUUCGUACCGCUCGACUUACCGAAGAGCAGCCUCUGCUAUUUUCAUUCCUCGUCACCAUUAUUCGCUAGACAAACCGUGGAGUGAGGUGCCAGUUUAAUAUCGCUGACUGAUGUGGUUGGACGUCGCGAAACGACGUUUGGUAGUCACGUUUAUUAUUGCUCGAUCACAGAGAAAAUUUCAAGAUAUGGAAUGUUCUCAUCAAUUUCAAAUCGCUAUUUCUUUCAUUGCCCAGCUCUGUUUAACAGACAAAAAAAGCGACGGUUGUAUUACGUAGAAAUUUUGACGAACAUAUCGCAUGCAGUGGACAGAUCUCAUUUGCUUCUAAACAUUCGAAAUGCCUCUUCAGUCCAAUCUAUUUACGACGAAGGGGACAACCACCGUCGUGGAGGCGUGAUCUAAACACCCAGGAUCGGUUCAUUUUCCCAUAACCCUUCCUAGCACAGGAGUACAAGUUCGGAAGGACUACCAUCGGUUCUUCAGCCCAUUCUUUGUAACAUCUCUGCCGGUUCAUUAGACCGGUACCCGGGACGUGAUGUUUUUCAUUUUUGAAGCCUGUUGCUCUUCUACCCUGCGAUUUUGGGAUUAAAUCAUCACUUCCACCAAUUUAUUCUAAUAUUCUACGAGAGAGCGGACAACCUCCACCGUAGUUGCGUGAUCGGGAUCUUCAGUAGUUCCCAGUUUUAUUUGGCACAACGCGUGAAGGAAUUUCGAGGUUAUGGAGAAACAAUUAAUUCUCGUUCGAAGAUAAAUAACUUGUCCUAUGCAUUAAAUCGGAUGUGACUGAAUAAGGGUUUGAUCGCCAGAAUCAGAGGAUUAUAACAUUGGUUUUGGAAGAAAUUCUUCAAUGGCUGUAUGAAUGAGAGAAAGAAGCAAUAGAUGGCAGUAUUUCAGAUAAUUGGAGAGAUGUAUCGUAUAUAAAUCGAUCUCUAUUUUAUCUUGUACUGAACCGAUAAUGUCGCAUGUGACAUUAAAAUGAUAUGGGGGACUACGUAAUUCUCGUGUCAUGAAAUAUUUUUUUUGUAAUCUAUGCAAGGUCUAUCUGAUUCUUGGUCAAUAUCAAUGCUAUUAAUAAUAAUUUUGACACAUCAUAUGAUGGUCAUAAUUCAUCAUGUAAGCAUAAAACAAAAACAUCUCUAUCCAUCAUCGGUAUAUUAUCGAUAAUCGAUGAUACCAUUUUUGUAUCAUCGGAGCAGUGACAGCUGGAAACAUUGACUUAGAACAGAACAAACAUGACAUUAAAUGAGACCAUAGACGGUAUUCGUAAGGUUGUAUACAUAUACAGUUGAAGAAGAACGAGAAUUCAUGUCUAUAUUAUAUUAUUCCUAUAAUAUAAUUUAUAGAUUUGUUAAUUUAUAAAUUGUUAUUGAUCGUAUCGUAAAUUAUCGCGAUACUUAUUAAUCUUUAUUAACAAAUAUUUUCUAAACACAUUUGAUUUUUAGUAUAAAAUGAAACGUUCGCAGAUUUGGAAUCAUUGCCUUAAAUUAUUAUAUAAUUCUGAAUCAUCAAUUUUCGAUACCUUUUUAUCAUUCGAGAGAGAGUUAAUCAAUAUGUUAACGUCGAAUGAAACUUAGAAACUUGUUUCUUUCUUAAUUUUACUAAACACAUAUUAACACAUAUGUGUCAUAUGUAACAAAUGAUUUAUAUUUACACAUCUUUAAUAACUUUGCAUUUUAGUCGAUUGUUGUAUUCUCUUCUGUCAUCCAGGAAGCUUCCAUCGACGUUCUUCAAGCGUCGAAAAAUGAAUUCUCUUACUAGGAGAAUAGGAUGAUACAAGAGAUCAUUUAAUACCACCACUUUAUUUCUACUUUUCUAGUACUGCGCGUCUAUCUUACUCAUCAGGAAAACAUAAUUGUUCAGAGAAAUUAAACUACAACUUCUUGCUUUUCGUGUUCUCCUAUUAUUGUUUCUUUGCGAUUUUCUUACUAGGGGAACAAUUGAAUAAAGAAGUUAUCAUGAAGUUGCCUGCAUUUCAUAUUCUCCUGUUAUGCUUGUUAGAAGAGAGCCUUCAAAGGCGCUCAACACUCUCGAAAAUAAAGUUUCAUAUUAGGAGAAUAUAAGAAUAUAAGAUACGAAUAUAAGAUAAGAAAUUAAUUAAAAAGAUGUUUUGAAAAAAUAUAUUUAAUCGCACAGCUUCUUAAUAAUUGAUUAUGUGGAUAUUUUUACGUGUAUAAUUAUAAUUAAAAUAAUAAUUUAUGUGUAUAA